rnacentral:rRNA from 1 species
CUACGGGACGCAGCAGUAGGGAAUUUUCGGCAAUGGGGGAAACCCUGACCGAGCAACGCCGCGUGAAUGACGAAGUACUUCGGUAUGUAAAGUUCUUUUAUUAGGGAAGAAUGGCAGGUGGAAAAACCUGAUUGACGGUACCUAAUGAAUAAGCCCCGGCUAACUAUGUGCCAGCAGCCGCGGUAAUACAUAGGGGGCAAGCGUUAUCCGGAAUUAUUGGGCGUAAAGGGUGCGUAGGUGGUUAGUUAAGUCUUUGGUGUAAGUGCAGUGCUUAACGCUGUGAUGCUAAAGAAACUGGCUGACUUGAGGGUGGUAGAGGCAAGUGGAAUUCCAUGUGUAGCGGUAAAAUGCGUAAAUAUAUGGAGGAACACCAGUGGCGAAGGCGGCUUGCUGGGCCACAACUGACACUGAGGCACGAAAGCGUGGGGAGCAAACAGGAUUAGAUACCCGCGUAGUC